UACGGGGGGGGCAAGCGUUGUUCGGAAUUACUGGGCGUAAAGGGCUCGUAGGCGGCCAACUAAGUCAGACGUGAAAUCCCUCGGCUUAACCGGGGAACUGCAUCUGAUACUGGAUGGCUUGAGUUCGGGAGAGGGAUGCGGAAUUCCAGGUGUAGCGGUGAAAUGCGUAGAUAUCUGGAAGAACACCAAUGGCGAAAGCGCUCUACUGGACCGCAACUGACACUCAGGGACGAAAGCUAGGGGAGCGAAUGGG
rnacentral:rRNA from 1 species